GCCCGAGUGAUGGAAUGGUAGACAUACAGGACUUAAAAUCCUGGGAACUUUGUUCGUGCCGGUUCAAGUCCGGCCUCGGGUA
rnacentral:tRNA from 1 species